CUUAGUGGCGGACGGGUGAGUAACGCGUGGGGAACCUGCCCUGUACAGGGGGAUAACACUUAGAAAUAGGUGCUAAUACCGCAUAAGCGCACAGUCUCGCAUGAUACAGUGUGAAAAACUCCGGUGGUACAGGAUGGACCCGCGUCUGAUUAGCUGGUUGGCGGGGUAACGGCCCACCAAGGCGACGAUCAGUAGCCGGCCUGAGAGGGUGAACGGCCACAUUGGGACUGAGACACGGCCCAAACUCCUACGGAAGGCAGCAG
rnacentral:rRNA from 1 species